rnacentral:rRNA from 1 species
GACGACGCCGGCGGCGUGCCUAACACAUGCAAGUCGAGCGAGAAAGUCCCUUCGGGGGCGAGUAAAGCGGCGGACGGGUGAGUAAUACAUGGAUAAUCUUCCCUCGAGCCUGGGAUAACCCUGCGAAAGUGGGGCUAAUACCGGAUAAGACCACAUGACACAUGUCACGGGGUAGAAGGUGGCUUGUAUUUAUAUGAGCUAUCACUUGAGGAUGAGUCCAUGGCCUAUCAGCUAGUUGGUGAGGUAAGAGCUUACCAAGGCUAUGACGGGUAGCUGGUCUGAGAGGACGACUAGCCACACUGGGACUGAGACACGGCCCAGACUCCUACGGGAGGCAGCAGUGGGGAAUAUUGGGCAAUGGGCGAAAGCCUGACCCAGCGACGCCGCGUGGGUGAUGAAGGCCUUCGGGUUGUAAAACCCUUUCGUGCGGAAAGAAUAGUCCUGUAGCGAAUAACUACGGGAUUUGACGGUACCGCAGGAAGAAGCACCGGCUAACUCCGUG